rfam:Dipodomys ordii contig_61514, whole genome shotgun sequence.
ACAAAGGCUCUUUUCAGAGCCACUUACAACCCAGGAAAAGAGUUGU